ACUUUAGCUUCAAUCUGAGCUCAGAUCAGUGUGGGGUUAAUUGGAUAGGGGUACGCAGAGGGCAAAGUGAAUGCAAUUUGUCAUUCUAAUAAAAGACUGCAGCAGGUGCUUUCACUUAUUAGUUCCUCCUCCUCCUCCUCCUACCACUCCUCCUCCCCACUCUGGCUGAUUAAGUACUAAUAAGUGACAUUGCCUGCUGUUGUCUGUGGCUGGAACAAAGCCUUGCCUGUACGCAUCAACCCUAUGGCACAUAGGAUUGAAAAGCAACAUAUGAUUGAGCUCUGAAAUUGAAGGUUUAUUCUGGAGUCCUGUGAGCAAGACGAGCUGUUUUCUCCUGACGGAAACGAUGGCCUACCUUGAUCAGACUGCUGCGUCGAGGAAUUGGUUUGGAGGCUGAAACUGAUCCCGCGCUCUCCCCCGUUGGGGACUCGCAGCUGGAGUCGUUUUGGACCCUCCUCACGGUGUCUGACACGCUGCAGUUUCCGUUUGACACCGGCUCUCCUCGGUGCGUCUCCAGGCUCAUCCCGGCUCCUCCUGACGCAGCUUUCCAGCCAGCGACCUGCACACCGACGGCUCUUUUGUUCUCUCCAAAUUCAGCCAUGGUGACACUUUUGGGGUUUCUCAGAUCUCUUGAAAGCGCCGUGACUCCGAACGCAACAGCGCUGCACGCGGACGCAGGGGUGCCAUUAUUUGAAGUGAGCGAUAGGCAACCGUGCGCCAAGAGCAGAGGAAACUUAUCUCUCUCUCUCUCUCUCUCUCUCUCUCUCUCUCUCUCUCUCUCUCUCUCUCUCUCUCUCUCUCUCUCUCUCUCUCGAGUGAGCAGUGACCGACACCUACUAGACCCCCGCCGCAAACACUCAACACAUCUCCGGCCGCUUCAGCUGGAUGUGCGCUUGCGUUCAGGAAAUGCACAUAUGGCUGUCUGCUCCUCCUCCGCCACCGUCGCCUUAAAACAUCCUCUUCCCCACUGUGCUGAAGAACAACGUAGCCUACACCAUGAUGAUGUCUGCAUAACAUCAGUUCCUACUGUCCCCCUCUCUCGCUGUCUCGCUCCAGUCUUCAUCAGCAGCCCCUGGGGUUAUGAGUGCAGCGGCGCAACAUCUGUCACCGAUCUGUCAGAUGUGUGUGUGGUGUGUGUGUGUUCUUUUCUGGGUCUCCAGCAAGGAAAUGUGUGUUUUAUUCGCGCUACUUAGUGGUUGAUAAAUCAUGUUUGCCUAUUAUUGCUUUAUAGAUUCUCUCCGCCAAUUCUGGGUGACAAGUAGCGCAAUAUCUCAUUAAUUGGUUUGAUAGUUUAUUUCUAGAAAAGGGCUGCAGAAUAGCUUGACCAGAAUCUAUUCACUAACAACUUAAACAUUUACAACUACCAAUUUGGUAUUUAAAACCCCCUAUUAUUAACGUUCGCAGCUGCAAACUUGACAAUGAAAUCAUUAAACCCUUUAUUGAUGACUUAUUAACAUCUAUAACUGCAUACAUGGUGAUUAAAACCCUCUAUUAAUGACUAGACUAGGUAACCAAACCCUUUGUUAUUUACUUGGCAUUAGUUGACAGCUUGAUUAUCCGUCUAUGCUUUUAAAAAGUAAGCUAUUGUCUGGGUAUAUUUGCAGUUUAGACUUUGCACUCAAAUUAUUAUUCUUUUCUGGUGUGCACUUUUGAGAUGGUCCAUGCAUACCUAAACACAGUAGAAUGCACCAUUAACUGCCUCUCUAAAUUUCAAUUGAAAUCAAGGUCAGGGAUUUUUCUCUAGAAUUCAGGGGGACAUUUGUGUGAUGCAUUGCUCAGGGAUAAAUGCCAAGAUGCAUUCCCCAAGGGUAAAUGCCUAACAAAACAAAUUAGUUUACUUUUUUUUUUGGCCCUAAACGCAAUUACUAGAACUUAAUAAAUCCUCAGUAAGAAAGUAUAGAGAGCAGUGCAUCCAGGUCCUAUGGGUAGACUGGUUUUUAAAUUUUCUGGACUGCAGUGGUUCUGUGACUCCAAAUAGCUGCAAUGAUUUUGCUUGUUGACACCAGUUAUACCAAUAAUUACACAAAUCAAGGUCAGUGCAACGUUCACUGAUGCGAAACCAAUGUGUUGUGUGAUUUGUGUAAUGAAGGUUCCCUCCAUUUUCAAUCUAAUUCCCCCACAACAAAACAGUCUAUAGAGUUUUAAGGGGAGCCUUAUCUGAAAAGACAGGAGGUUCUUCUAUUAUCAGCUCAACAUUAACAUACGGUGACUCCAAUAAAAGCUGUGCACCACGGUG